UAUCAGCUUGUUGGUGGGGUAACGGCCCACCUAGGCGAUGACGGGUAGCUGGUCUGAGAGGACGACCAGCCACACGGGGACUGAGACACGGCCCCGACUCCUACGGGAGGCAGCAGUGGGGAAUCUUCCGCAAUGGGCGAAAGCCUGACGGAGUGACGCCGCGUGGGGGAUGAAGGCCUUCGGGUCGUAAACCCCUGUCAGAGGGAAAGAAGAGCGUCGGCGCGAUAACCGUCGGCGCUUGACGGUACCUUCAGAGGAAGCCCCGGCCAACUCUGUGCCAGCAGCCGCGGUAAGACAGAGGGGGCAAGCGUUGCUCGGAAUUACUGGGCGUAAAGGGCGCGUAGGCGGGAUGGCGAGUCGGUCGUGAAAUCCUUCGGCUCAACCGGAGAAAGUCGACCGAUACUGCUGUCCUUGAGGGUUGCAGAGGAGACUGGAAUUCCCGGUGUAGCGGUGAAAUGUGUAGAGAUCGGGAGGAACACCGGUGGCGAAGGCGGGUCUCUGGGCAACUCCUGACGCUGAGGCGCGAAAGCGUGGGGAGCAAACGGGAUUAGAUACCCCGGUAGUCCACGCUGUAAACGAUGGGCACUAGGUGUGGGGGGGGUCAGUCCUCUCCGUGCGCAGCUACGCAUUAGUGCCCCCCUGGGGA
rnacentral:rRNA from 1 species